rnacentral:rRNA from 1 species
UACGGAGGGUGCGAACGUUGCUCGGAAUCAUUGGGCGUAAAGCGCACGUAGGCGGCGGCGUAAGCGGGAUGUGAAAGCCCAGGGCUCAACCCUGGAAGUGCAUCCCGAACUGUGUCGCUUGAAUCUCGGAGGGGGACAGAGAAUUCCCGGUGUAGAGGUGAAAUUCGUAGAUAUCGGGAGGAAUACCAGUGGCGAAGGCGCUGUCCUGGACGAAGAUUGACGCUGAGGUGCGAAAGCGUGGGGAGCGAACAGG